rnacentral:rRNA from 1 species
UAGGGAAUAUUGCGCAAUGGAGGAAACUCUGACGCAGCGACGCCGCGUGGGUGACGAAGGCUUUCGGGUCGUAAAGCCCUGUCGGAAGGGAAGAAAAACGGUAUGGCUAAAAUCCAUGCCGCUUGACGGUACCUUUAAAGGAAGCACCGGCUAACUACGUGCCAGCAGCCGCGGUAAUACGUAGGGUGCGAGCGUUGUUCGGAAUCAUUGGGCGUAAAGCGCGUGUAGGUGGCUAGAUAAGUCGAUUGUGAAAUCCCUGGGCUCAACCGAGGAAGUGCAGUCGAAACUAUCUAGCUAGAGGACGGCAGAGGAAGGUGGAAUUCCAAGUGUAGAGGUGAAAUUCGUAGAUAUUUGGAGGAAUACCUGUGGCGAAGGCGGCCUUCUGGACCGGUCCUGACACUGAGACGCGAAAGCGUGGGGAGCAAACAG